AGCUCCAAUAGCGUAUAUUAAAGUUGUUGCAGUUAGAACGCUCGUAGUCGGAUUUCGGGGCGGUCCGACCGGUCUGCCGAUGGGUACGCACUGGUCGGAGCGUCCUUCCUGCCGGAGACCGUGCCUACUCUUAACUGAGCGGGGGCGGGAGACGGCACUUUUACUUUGAAAAAAUCAGAGUGUUUCAAGCAGGCAGCUCGCUCUUGCAUGGAUUAGCAUGGGAUAAUGAAAUAGGACUUUGGUGCUAUUUUGUUGGUUUCGAACACCGAAGUAAUGAUGAGAAGGGACAGUCAGGGGCACUCGUAUUCCGCAGAGAGAGGUGAAAUUCUCAGACCCGCGGAAGACGAACCACUGCGAAAGCAUUUGCCAGGGAUGUUUUCACUA
rnacentral:rRNA from 1 species